rnacentral:tRNA from 1 species
GCGGGUGUGGCGUAAUGGGAGCGUGCAACCCUUCCAAGGUUGAGGCGCGGGUCCGAUUCCCGCCACCCGCU